GGAGCGCACGAGUGAGGAUCGCUGGCGGGUUAGCCCGCUGGAGGAAAGUCCGAGCUCCACAGGGCAGGGUGCCGGGUAACGCCCGGGCGGCGUGAGCCGACGGAAAGUGCCGCAGAGAGCAGACCGCCGAUGGCCCCCCGGGGCACAGGCAAGGGUGAAAGGGUGCGGUAAGGGCGCACCGGGCCGCUGGCAACAGGGGCCGCAUGGCAAACCCCACCCGGAGCAAGGCCGAAUAGAGGACGAGGAGUUGCCCGCUCCACCCGAGUCCCGGGUAGGCCGCACGAGGCCGGCAGCGAUGCCGGUCCCAGAUAAAUGAUCCUCCCCCGUCUUCGGGCGGGGACAGAACUCGGCUUAUUCCGUGCGCUCCGCCG
rnacentral:RNase_P_RNA from 1 species